rnacentral:rRNA from 1 species
UACGUAGGGGGCAAGCGUUGUCCGGAUUUAUUGGGCGUAAAGAGCGUGUAGGCGGCCAGAUAGGUCCGUUGUGAAAACUGGAGGCUUAACCUCCAGCUGUCGAUGGAAACCAUCUGGCUAGAGUCCGGAAGAGGAGAGUGGAAUUCCUGGUGUAGCGGUGAAAUGCGCAGAUAUCAGGAAGAACACCGAUGGCGAAGGCAGCUGCCUGGCCUGACACUGACGCUGAGGUGCGAAAGCGUGGGGAGCGAACGGG